rnacentral:rRNA from 1 species
AUAUCAAUAAGCGGAGGAAAAGAAACCAACAGGGAUUGCCCCAGUAACGGCGAGUGAAGCGGCAAUAGCUCAAAUUUGAAAUCUGGCUCCUUCGGAGUCCGAGUUGUAAUUUGCAGAGGAUGCUUCGGCGUUGGACCCGUGCUAGGUUCCUCGGAACAGGACGUCAUAGAGGGUGAGAACCCCGUCUUUGCUCGGGAAACCAUCGCCAUGUGAAGCUCCUCGACGAGUCGAGUUGUUUGGGAAUGCAGCUCUAAGUGGGAGGUAAAUUUCUUCUAGAGCUAAAUACUGGCCAGAGACCGAUAGCGCACAAGUA